rnacentral:rRNA from 1 species
UAAACGUCCCAGUUCGGACUGCAGUCUGCAACUCGACUGCACGAAGCUGGAAUCGCUAGUAAUCGCGGAUCAGAAUGCCGCGGUGAAUACGUUCCCGGGUCUUGUACACACCGCCCGUCACACCAUGGGAGUUUGUAACGCCCAAAGUCGGUGGCCUAACCUUUAUGGAGGGAGCCGCCUAAGGCGGGACAGAUGACUGGGGUGAAGUCGUAACAAGGUACC